GGGUUGUGAGGUUAAGCGACUAAGCGUACACGGUGGAUGCCCUGGCAGUCAGAGGCGAUGAAGGACGUGCUAAUCUGCGAUAAGCGUCGGUAAGGUGAUAUGAACCGUUAUAACCGGCGAUUUCCGAAUGGGGAAACCCAGUGUGAUUCGUCACACUAUCAUUAACUGAAUCCAUAGGUUAAUGAGGCGAACCGGGGGAACUGAAACAUCUAAGUACCCCGAGGAAAAGAAAUCAACCGAGAUUCCCCCAGUAGCGGCGAGCGAACGGGGAGCAGCCCAGAGUCUGAAUCAGUGUGUGUGUUAGUGGAAGCGUCUGGAAAGGCGCGCGAUACAGGGUGACAGCCCCGUACACAAAAAUGCACAUGCUGUGAGCUCGAUGAGUAGGGCGGGACACGUGGUAUCCUGUCUGAAUAUGGGGGGACCAUCCUCCAAGGCUAAAUACUCCUGACUGACCGAUAGUGAACCAGUACCGUGAGGGAAAGGCGAAAAGAACCCCGGCGAGGGGAGUGAAAAAGAACCUGAAACCGUGUACGUACAAGCAGUGGGAGCCUCUUUUAUGGGGUGACUGCGUACCUUUUGUAUAAUGGGUCAGCGACUUAUAUUCUGUAGCAAGGUUAACCGAAUAGGGGAGCCGAAGGGAAACCGAGUCUUAACUGGGCGUUAAGUUGCAGGGUAUAGACCCGAAACCCGGUGAUCUAGCCAUGGGCAGGUUGAAGGUUGGGUAACACUAACUGGAGGACCGAACCGACUAAUGUUGAAAAAUUAGCGGAUGACUUGUGGCUGGGGGUGAAAGGCCAAUCAAACCGGGAGAUAGCUGGUUCUCCCCGAAAGCUAUUUAGGUAGCGCCUCGUG
rnacentral:rRNA from 1 species